UACGAAGGGGGCUAGCGUUGUUCGGAUUUACUGGGCGUAAAGCGCGUUGUAGGCGGGUCGUUAAGUUGGGGGUGAAAUCCCGAGGCUCAACCUCGGAACUGCCUUCAAAACUGGCGACCUGGACUCAAGUAGAGGCAAGUGGAAUUGCGAGUGUAGAGGUGAAAUUCGUAGAUACUUCGCAGGAACACCAGUGGCGAAGGCGACUUGCUGGACUUGUAGUGACGCUGAGACGCGAAAAG
rnacentral:rRNA from 1 species